UCCGAGCUGUCUUUGUUCUGCCGAGCUGCCUGCCCGCGCUCUCGUGAAAAGUCUGGUACUGGGGCUUAGAAUUGUAGUGUUUGGAAGACUGAUGAAGGUUGUGCUUUUGUGGAGCUGGAAUUCAUCGGAAGUUCUACAGUGCUUGCGCCAGAGAAACGUCGGUGCCUCUGUACCUGUUAGACGAAGGAGCGUUUGCCAAGUCUUGAAAGGUAGACAUCGGUGACGGUGUAUACGUUGAAAAGGGCAUGCUGAAGAGGCUGUGCCUGGAUGCUAACAACUCAGGAUUUCACUUCGCGGAGGGCCUCCUUAAAGCUCCUUUUUCAAUAAAAGACGUUGAAGGGAGGUCCUUCUUUGGGCGGCUGUCAAAUGCCCUCCUCAGAAGGAUCCGUUGGAUUCCAAGAAGGUCAACACCAUAGUAGACUACACAACGCAACAUUUCAGCCUACUUCCAGGGCAGCUGGAGAACUCGUCCUCCUUACUAGCCCGGGGAUAUUAAAUGGAUGUGUUCAAGCACAAA
rnacentral:lncRNA from 1 species